UGUGUUUGCGUCUCUCUCGCAAACCCUUCCAUUCGAUCCAAUCCGAGAAGUCUAUGUAAAUCUUUAUGUAAUUGGGGGAAAUCUAGGGUUUUUGGUUUUGAUUUUUGUUUCCUUUUUUUGUGUUGUGUUUGUGAAUUGUUGAUUGGAGAUUGUUGUUGUUGGGAUGUUGGGGUUUGUGGGGGCUUGCAGAUCUGAAUAAGGUUUCGUGUGAAGUGGGCGUUUUAUUUGGUAAAUUUCAAAGAUGUUUUGGCGUAUGGCAGGGCUAUCCACGGCGUCGCCGGUGGAGACAAUUUUGGAUAAGGAAAACUUUACACUGGAGGAGCUUCUUGACGAGGAUGAAAUUAUUCAAGAAUGCAAAGCCCU
rnacentral:misc_RNA from 1 species